rnacentral:rRNA from 1 species
AACGAACGCUGGCGGCGCGCCUAAUACAUGCAAGUCGAGCGAGAAGGUGUAGCAAUACACUUGUAAAGCGGCGAACGGGUGAGGAAUACAUGGGUAACCUACCCUCGAGUGGGGAAUAACUAGCCGAAAGGUUAGCUAAUACCGCAUACGAUUCCAGGACUUCGGUCCUGGAAGGAAGGCACUACCGUGGGUAGUGCGCUCCUGGAUGGGCUCAUGUCCUAUCAGCUUGUUGGUGAGGUAAAGGCUCACCAAGGCUUCGACGGGUAGCUGGUCUGAGAGGACGAUCAGCCACACUGGGACUGAGACACGGCCCAGACUCCUACGGGAGGCAGCAGUGGGGAAUCUUGCCCAAUGGGGGAAACCCUGAGGCAGCAACGCCGCGUGCGGGAUGACGGCCCUCGGGUUGUAAACCGCUUUCAGCAGGGACGAAAUUGACGUACCUGCAGAAGAAGCUCCGGCCAACU